rnacentral:rRNA from 1 species
UACGGAGGAUGCAAGCGUUAUCCGGAAUGAUUGGGCGUAAAGCGUCCGCAGGUGGCUAUGUAAGUCUGCUGUUAAAGAGUGAGGCUCAACCUCAUAAGAGCAGUGGAAACUACAUGGCUAGAGUACGUUCGGGGCAGAGGGAAUUCCUGGUGUAGCGGUGAAAUGCGUAGAGAUCAGGAAGAACACCGGUGGCGAAAGCGCUCUGCUAGGCCGUAACUGACACUGAGGGACGAAAGCUAGGGGAGCGAAUGGG